rnacentral:rRNA from 1 species
UAUUACAAUGAAGAGUUUGAUCCUGGCUCAGGAUGAACGCUAGCUACAGGCUUAACACAUGCAAGUCGAGGGGCAGCANUUACAAUGAAGAGUUUGAUCCUGGCUCAGGAUGAACGCUAGCUACAGGCUUAACACAUGCAAGUCGAGGGGCAGCAUGGUCUUAGCUUGCUAAGGCCGAUGGCGACCGGCGCACGGGUGAGUAACACGUAUCCAACCUGCCGUCUACUCUUGGACAGCCUUCUGAAAGGAAGAUUAAUACAAGAUGGCAUCAUGAGUCCGCAUGUUCACAUGAUUAAAGGUAUUCCGGUAGACGAUGGGGAUGCGUUCCAUUAGAUAGUAGGCGGGGUAACGGCCCACCUAGUCUUCGAUGGAUAGGGGUUCUGAGAGGAAGGUCCCCCACAUUGGAACUGAGACACGGUCCAAACUCCUACGGGAGGCAGCAGUGAGGAAUAUUGGUCAAUGGGCGAGAGCCUGAACCAGCCAAGUAGCGUGAAGGAUGACUGCCCUAUGGGUUGUAAACUUCUUUUAUAAAGGAAUAAAGUCGGGUAUGCAUACCCGUUUGCAUGUACUUUAUGAAUAAGGAUCGGCUAACUCCGUGCCAGCAGCCGCGGUAAUACGGAGGAUCCGAGCGUUAUCCGGAUUUAUUGGGUUUAAAGGGAGCGUAGAUGGAUGUUUAAGUCAGUUGUGAAAGUUUGCGGCUCAACCGUAAAAUUGCAGUUGAUACUGGAUAUCUUGAGUGCAGUUGAGGCAGGCGGAAUUCGUGGUGUAGCGGUGAAAUGCUUAGAUAUCACGAAGAACUCCGAUUGCGAAGGCAGCCUGCUAAGCUGCAACUGACAUUGAGGCUCGAAAGUGUGGGUAUCAAACAGGAUUAGAUACCCUGGUAGUCCACACGGUAAACGAUGAAUACUCGCUGUUUGCGAUAUACAGCAAGCGGCCAAGCGAAAGCGUUAAGUAUUCCACCUGGGGAGUACGCCGGCAACGGUGAAACUCAAAGGAAUUGACGGGGGCCCGCACAAGCGGAGGAACAUGUGGUUUAAUUCGAUGAUACGCGAGGAACCUUACCCGGGCUUAAAUUGCAGAUGAAUUACGGUGAAAGCCGUAAGCCGCAAGGCAUCUGUGAAGGUGCUGCAUGGUUGUCGUCAGCUCGUGCCGUGAGGUGUCGGCUUAAGUGCCAUAACGAGCGCAACCCUUGUUGUCAGUUACUAACAGGUUCCGCUGAGGACUCUGACAAGACUGCCAUCGUAAGAUGUGAGGAAGGUGGGGAUGACGUCAAAUCAGCACGGCCCUUACGUCCGGGGCUACACACGUGUUACAAUGGGGGGUACAGAGGGCCGCUACCACGCGAGUGGAUGCCAAUCCCCAAAACCUCUCUCAGUUCGGACUGGAGUCUGCAACCCGACUCCACGAAGCUGGAUUCGCUAGUAAUCGCGCAUCAGCCACGGCGCGGUGAAUACGUUCCCGGGCCUUGUACACACCGCCCGUCAAGCCAUGGGAGCCGGGGGUACCUGAAGUGCGUAACCGCGAGGAGCGCCCUAGGGUAAAACUGGUGACUGGGGCUAAGUCGUAACAAGGUAGCCGUACCGGAAGGUGCGGCUGGAACACCUCCUUUCU